rnacentral:sRNA from 1 species
AUAUUGAGUUAGCCGAAACUUUGAAAGUAAAGUGCGGGGGAUGAUUUAAAGUUCAUUGCGCGAUAAGAAUGGACAAGCGUAAGAGCUAGGGGUGAAUCGUAUAGACGACGAUGGGUUGUUUCCUCAAUCCAAACCCGACAACUAACCUCGUAGGUGAUUAAAAGGAGGAACU